rnacentral:lncRNA from 1 species
UUGAUGUGAGAUACCAUUUUCAUUACAAAAUUCUUCAAAGUGUUGAUUUUCAAAUUCAGUUCCAUGAUCACUUCGAAUUGCUAUUAAGGUAAGCUUCUUUUCAGUUAUUAUAUUUUUUAUAAUAUUUCACAAAUGCUGAAAAUGCUUCAUUCUUAUGUGCAAGAAAUGAAACCCAUGUAUAUCUUGAAAAAUCAUCUACUAUAACUAGUCCAUACUUCUU